rnacentral:rRNA from 1 species
AGUGAACGCUGGCGGUAGGCCUAACACAUGCAAGUCGAACGGCAGCACAGUAAGAGCUUGCUCUUACGGGUGGCGAGUGGCGGACGGGUGAGGAAUACAUCGGAAUCUACUUUUUCGUGGGGGAUAACGUAGGGAAACUUACGCUAAUACCGCAUACGACCUACGGGUGAAAGCAGGGGAUCUUCGGACCUUGCGCGAUUGAAUGAGCCGAUGUCGGAUUAGCUAGUUGGCGGGGUAAAGGCCCACCAAGGCGACGAUCCGUAGCUGGUCUGAGAGGAUGAUCAGCCACACUGGAACUGAGACACGGUCCAGACUCCUACGGGAGGCAGCAGUGGGGAAUAUUGGACCAUGGGCGCAAGCCUGAUCCAGCCCUACCGCGUGGGUGAAGAAGGCCUUCGGGUUGUAAAGCCCUUUUGUUGGGAAAGAAAAGCAGCAGGUUAAUCCCCCGCUGUUCUGACGGUACCCAAAGAAUAAGCACCGGCUAACUUCGUG